rnacentral:lncRNA from 12 species
GAUAAUUCUAUAUCUAAUGGUGAGUUUAGAAUAUAGAGAAUGAAUCAAGUUUUUUUGAAUAGGUGAGACUCUGAAAGUAUUUUAGAUUGUCAUUACUGGAUAGUUUAUAAAGGGCUCUGCAAUCCAUAUGACAAUUUCUGUCUAUGGGGGGGGGAAGGAGCAAAAGGGAAGGUAGCAUAUAAAACUUUCAAUGCCAAUUUUAUGGUUGCUCAUAAAAUAAGGCUACAUAUAUCUAAAAAGGUUGAGAAUCAUGAUAGUAUGCCCUGGAUUUUACAAAAAAAAUAUUUGCAGAGACACGAAAGGAAAGUAAGGACUGAGUGGUUCAUUUAAAUGAGCAUUGAAUCAGACCUCCCUUGUAAAUGAUAGGCCAGUAUUUCCCAUUUCGAGAGCUAGAUUAUUACAGACUUAUCACUGCUGACUUAUGACUUCAGUCAUGUUUGUUUCUAGCAUCACUGGGAUUCCAUGAUGUUAGAUUGCCCUCCAUGAUCAUCACUGAAGUUGAUUUUAGGUUGCUCUUUCUUUUGGACAGCUAUGUAAUCGACAUAAAGGAGGUUCUGCCAAGACGGCAUUCUUUUUCACAAGGCUGGGAAGGCAAGCAUGUUGGAGCUAGAAAGAUGGAAAUGCCUUCAGAAUAUUGGAUUUUUGGCAAGAAUUCUCUGCCUGAAACUGUGAGUCAUUCUCAAAGAUCUCUACUUAUGAAGUCAUGGAGGAUGCAGUUAAUUAAGUAUGUGGACUCCACUUCUAAGGGUGUUUUUCUGUGCUUUGCUUAAGACACAAGAACAAAUACAAAAUACAUUUGCUUGAUUUCUUAAUCCUUCUCUUUUCAGUUUCUUUCUUGGAAGCAAUCAGGAUUAAAAAAGAUUAAACUAUCACUGUAAUGGCCAUGGAAACAAACAUAACAUAAGAAUGUGAAUGUAGAGAUGUGGUGUGGAGCAACCCUUUUUGUUCAUGGAAGACAUUAAAGUACACAGAGAUAAAAAAUGAUUUAAAUAGAAGAAAAUAUAGCAAUUUUAUUGCAGGAAUUAUGGUGGAUUCUCACCAGAUAACUUGGUUUUUUGACAUGUCUUCAGGCUCAAAGACCUGGUCUCUUCACCAUCUGUAGGCAAGAUCAUGCAUCACAUCUAGGGACAAAUUAUAAGAGGGAGGUGUCAACCUGCUUCUCCACCAAGGAGAAUAUGAAAGGUCUCCUUUUGGAACUUUGACUAAACCUGAAAUGAAAGCAAUUAUGCACAUGUUGUGUUUUGAUUCUAAGUUAGAAAGAAGGAAACCUAAAAGUAAGACUAACCAACAGGAGGUAGUAGUCAACAUGUCCCUUUCCUGCCAUAAUUACUAUUGCAAGGGAAUGUCCUAUCUUCCAUUUCAUUUUUCUGUAUCAUAUUUAUAUUUAUAUUUAUAUUUAUAUUUAUAUUUAUUUAUAUUUAUAUUUAUUUAUAUUUAUAUAAAAAGGAAAUAGCAGGAGUAGAGAGAAAUGGAGGAAGGAAUUGAGAGAGGAAAAUGUCAAAUAAGGUUUUCUUAGCUUCUAGAAUUUUGGCUUCAUCUCCACUUGUAGUUCAACAGAAUGAAAUGGCCAGGAUUUGCCAAACCAGGACAAUUACCAGGCAUUCCACACAGCAUUUGUAGGAGGUGUCCAUUAUGCAAGAACUAAAAACAAAACAGAGAAAUAAAAUAGGGGUACUUGCUUUUACA